UCUACAUCAUGGCAGACGACGCCGUAAGGAGUGUUUUGCAUUCAAUUGGUUUACAUUCACUGUAUCAAAAUUUUAUGAGUCAAAAAAUAGAUUCUAUUGAGAUUUGUAAAUCGUUAGAAGAUAACCAGUUAACAAAUUUAGGUCUGGUGACCAUUGGUGAAAGAAUUAAGUUUAAAAAUGCAGUGCAGCAUUGGCAAUCCAUGCCCAUCAUGCCCAUGGCUGAGAGCGAUACGGCCGCAUCUGGAUCUAGGAUCUCGACAGACGCUACAUUCAGAGAAAGGAACUCUUUAUUUAUGCCAAGUAGGUGCAGGCAGCCUAGUACCAGUACUUCUGUAGGCAAAAGAAAACGUCCACAAACUUGGACUGCUAAUUUUAUGUGCCUUUCAAACAAUCAUCAAAAUAAGGUACCUAACAGUGCUGAAAAAGAAUGCUUGUACAAGGCAGGUUUGGGUAUGAAAAAAGUAACUUUUGAAGGAGAUGCAAAAGAACAAAGUGUUCAUGACACUAUCAUUAAAGAGUUUCCUAAACUUGAACAGUGUGGGGGGUUUGAACUGUUACGUUGUAACAGUAGCUGCAGAGUAUUGAAACAACUUAAUUGUAAAUGGGAUGUUAAAACAUUAAAAAGUGUUGUAGGACCUCAAGGUAAAUUUUAUAUUAGACCCAUUCAAAAGUGUUUGACGGUUGAGGUAGUAACAGAAGAUGAAGAAACAGAGUUAAUGACAAAGUGUGACAUAUGCAAACAGGAAGUUUCUUUAGGUCAAAUACGUAACCAUGUUGAGUCCUGUAUAGCCACAAAUCUGGACCAUACAGAAACGUACCUGUAUACUUCACAGGGAAAUUCAGAUGAAGAACUUCCUGAAAGUGCUUCAGAGAUAAUUCAUCAACAGGGGUUUUCCAUGGAAUUCCAUGAUUUACCAGAGAUUUCCAGCAUAACUUCCAUGGUGACCCUGGACAAUGUACACCCGGGCAGUGAGAACCAGCUUAAUGGAGAUUAUUUAAGUACAUUAGUUAAAAAGUGUACUACAUUUUGUAAAUCCAAUGAUGUGUCUGAUCCUAUUCAUGUGCUAAAGAUCUUUCAAAAAGAGAUUGUUACUGGGAGACCAUUAGAACUAACAGAAGAGACAUCAUCUACGGGCAUUUAUGGUGAAACCAAUUUCAUUUAGGUAGACAGAGGCGAUCUACUGAAAACAGCAAUUGAGGAAAUAUAUGGGCAAUAAGCGACAUGAGGAAAUGCCUUGAAGUUCAGUUCUAUGGAGAGGUAAAUACAUAUAAAGUGUAGAAAGAAAAAAAAAUGACCAUACAAUUUUCCAAUUCCAAGUCUACUUCACUGAAAAUAAUUCCCUGUUUGUGAUUAUUGUGUUUCACUGUAUUAAAUUAUUCAUAAAUAUGAUUUUUCAAACUUUGAAAAAUAUAGACAGAAUGUUGCAAAGAGGUUUGGAAAUUUUGGGGCUUUGAAUUUGCUUGUUUUAGUGUCAGCGGCUUCUUGCCUAGCCAUGCUAUGGGAAUAACGUAAUCUUUUACACCCCAGCAAACAAAGUUUGCAAGGGAGUAUGUAGUUGUCAUUUUGUUGGUUGGUCGGCUGUGGGUUUGAUCAUCUCUCUCUGACUGCUCCAACAUGUGGAUCAAACUACUCAUAAAUUGUGUAAGUAAUUGACUUGAAACUAGAGAUGUGUCAUAAAGAAAAAAGUGUAUGUGUGCAAGACCCAAUUUAGACAUGCGGUGAUUCACCAUUUUGGUAAAAAAAAUGCGAACAUUAGUGUCUGUAACAAAUCUAGUGGGUUGUACCUGUCAUUUAAUUUUGCAGUGUGCUGCUGAUUUUGGAGGUCCAAGAAAGGAAUUCUUCUCUCUUGUCCUGCAGUGCAUUAAGGAAGAAUACUUCGAGCCAGUGAGAGAGUGGUCAGAUGACUAUGAAGCUGUUGGCAGAAUAUUGGCUCUGAACACUCUUCAAAACGGAAGAUUACCUAGAAUUAUGUCAGCAGAGCUAGUGGAGAAAGUAUUCAAUCAAGUGCUGCCUGUAGACAAGUACAUCCAGGACCUAAGAAAAGGUCUUGACAGUCUUGGUCUUGUUCAGCUUGUUCAAGAACUGCCAGCUGUUAUUCACCUGUUCACACCUCAACAGUCGAAUCCUUUAACGGUGAAGAUGUUGACACACCUAUUGAACCCACAGUUUAGUGCUGAAGGGUCAAACAGAAGACAGAGAGAGAAUUCCACAUACACGUUGUUCAUCAAAUACAUGCGUGAAGCUGCAAAAGAUGCUUUCCAAAAUCCUACUGGUUUCUCUAGUGCUGUUUGUGUUCUACUUUUGGAGCGCAGGCGGAGAAACGACACAACCCACAACAUUACCAACCACCACCAGCACCAGCACCAGCACCCCCCCCCGCCACCUCAAAGCGGUGUGAUCGUGCGAUCUCCACAAACAUCUCGGGAUUCUACCAUCACACUACUGGUAUUGCAAGUGAUACUGGUGUUCGUCUUCGGCGCUUUGCCUUUAUAAAUCAACGAAAUGUCGCCCGAGUUGAGUACUACAGCGCCUUGGCUGGAUGUUAACAUGCUUCAUUGAAAAAAAUAACACCAUUUCGCCGUAUUUUGUACUGUUGUAAAUCGUCUUAUGAAACGGUACAUAAUAUAUUUUACGAAAUGUACGAAAACAUAAAGUGACUUCUGUAUAAAGUAUGUGGCAUUUCA